rnacentral:rRNA from 1 species
UACGUAGGGCGCAAGCGUUGUCCGGAAUUAUUGGGCGUAAAGAGCUCGUAGGCGGUUUGUCGCGUCUGCUGUGAAAACUCGAGGCUCAACCUCGGGCUUGCAGUGGGUACGGGCAGACUAGAGUGCGGUAGGGGUGACUGGAAUUCCUGGUGUAGCGGUGGAAUGCGCAGAUAUCAGGAGGAACACCGAUGGCGAAGGCAGGUCACUGGGCCGCAACUGACGC